rnacentral:rRNA from 1 species
AUUGAACGCUGGCGGCAUGCCUAACACAUGCAAGUCGAACGGAGUGGGGACGGGUGAGUAACACGUGGGUAACCUCCCAUCAGAGGGGAUAACACUUGGAAACUGGUGCUAAACCGAUACUGAUUGAUGAAUCCACGGGGCCUUAGCUAGUUGGUGAGGUAACGGCUCACCAAGGCCACGAGGCAUAGCCGACCUGAGAGGGUGAUCGGCCACACUGGGACUGAGACACGGCCCAGACUCCUACGGGAGGCAGCAGUAGGGAAUAUUCGGCAAUGGACGAAAGUCUGACCGAGCAACGCCGCGUGAGUGAAGAAGGUUUUCGGAUCGUAAAACUCUGUUGUUAGAGAAGCGGUAUCUAACCAGAAAGCCACGGCUAACUACGUGCCAGCAGCCGCGGUAAUUC